GGGAUGCAGUGUGUCUGCCACAGCUGGGGAUGCAGUGUGUCCCAGGGUGGCUCGCCUGGACUGUGGAGCUGGGAAACUAUGAAUGAACCGAGUCCCACGCACUUGCUGGCUGAGUCACGCGUGCACACGGCAAAGUUUGUACAACCAGCGUGUUUCAGAUCCAAGUCAUCUAACCUCUGUUCUUUCUCUCUGAAAAGCUAGAUGACCCAUACAGAUGGCAUAAGCAACGUCUCCUUUCUCCACUGGGCCAUCUCCCGGCCAUUUACAAGGACCUUUUGUGCGCCAGGCACGGCGUGGGGGAUGUAGAUGGAUAAUGCACUUCCCCAGUUCCUGUCUUCACUUCAUCAGCUACAGCAGACACCAGUGAACAUUCCCGAGGGCCCGGCGGGCUCCAGAGAGUGCACCAGACCGGUUGUGGGGGCCACAGGGGCUGGCGGUAAUACCGUGCCCGCUGACAAAGGGAGACCCAAGCCGGAGAGGAUAAACAGCUCCCUCUGUCCCCUCGGUCGCUGACUAACCGGACAGAGAGGAGCUGUCCAGCCGGCCGCCACCACGGUGUAGGGCGGGCACUGCCAACAGACGGCCGUCCCCGGAGCCGGCUGCAGGAGAGCUGUGCCCGCCAGGCCGCUGCUCUGUGCCUCCCACACCCCUAGCCUGCGGCCCCAGGAAGCAGAGGUUUGGGACCACAAACAAAAAUGUACAGGAGGCUUGACCGGACCCUCUAUUUCUUCGUUCUUUCUUUUUCUCUCUCUUCCCCAGCAAAGCCGGCAAUUGAGAACUCCACAUCAGAUUCCUGUGGCUAAGAGGGGCCUCUUGAGGUCAUCAACACUGUUCUCCCACAUGAAGACAAGCCUCUCCUGAAGUUGUCACGGAAGGCAGGCCACGGUCCUUAUUAAAGGGAUCUGAUGGAGAGGUCGCCGGCCUUCCUUGUUGCUGCCAGAGCAGUGUGCAUCCUUCUGAAGCAUGGCACUCAUUACAUUUGACUUUCCUACUUUAUUCCAAUAUCUGUGUCCCACUCAUGACCGUGAGCUCUCAAGACUUCCCUGUAUCUUCAGGACUUGGCAUACUGCCUGGUCCAGACGGGCCACUUAGUAAAUGUGGGUUAUGUGUGGGCAGAUGCAUGCUCCAUCUUGGCCAAAAGGCCGAGAAGUGAUUCAUUCUGCAGAUGUAAAAAGUGAAACUCCCAACACAGGUUGCCCUGUCCAAGGUCACAGUGAGGGUAAGCCAAUCCACAAUAACACCUUUGGCUUUUGGCCACCUCAACCCAAAAGAAUAAAUGGCAAUCCAACUGGCUAUCAGAACCAGAACGAUGCUCAGAUCCCUGACUUGUACACAGAGAGGCACGGCCUCUU